GUGGAUUAGAUACCCUGGUAGUCCACGCCGUAAACGGUGGGCGCUAGAUGUGGGGACCAUUCCACGGUUUCCGUGUCGCAGCUAACGCAUUAAGCGCCCCGCCUGGGGAGUACGGCCGCAAGGCUAAAACUCAAAGGAAUUGACGGGGGCCCGCACAAGCGGCGGAGCAUGCGGAUUAAUUCGAUGCAACGCGAAGAACCUUACCAAGGCUUGACAUACACGAGAACGGGCCAGAAAUGGUCAACUCUUUGGACACUCGUGAACAGGUGGUGCACGGUCGUCGCCAGCU
rnacentral:rRNA from 1 species